rnacentral:miRNA from 10 species
CCUCGUUCCGCUUGAGUUGUGAUG